rnacentral:lncRNA from 12 species
GGCGGCCUGCUGGCGGCCUCGGCCGGCCGGGGAAGGUGGCAGGGUGGCCAUGAUCUCAUUUUCCCCUUCUGCUGACAUGCUUCUAAUUCGGCUUUAUGAGAUUUUUCUGGAGUGUCAGCUGUGCUGUUUUGAGCUGGACCGCGAAGGGCAGACUGUCCAGAGGCAAGGGGAAUGGUAUGUGGGAAGGGCUUGGCAGAGGGAAGGCAGGCUCUAGCCUUUCCCAGCCUCCGGCAGGGUCUCAGAAUGUUCUGGCCCACUUUGGAGUCUUAAAGGGACAAGUCAAGGCAAAAACACCCGCAGACACCUGGGGAAUGCGGACCACGGGGAGAACUUCACCCAAGGCCAAGGGUUAGGUCUUUCAAGGCAAGUCACGUAGAGCCCGAGGCGCGGGCCUGGGUCCAGCGGCUGGUGGAGUCCAAGAGGCGACACGGUCUCCCGGAAUUCCUUCCAGACAGGUGCUGCCCCACUGAGCCCCCAGUUGGAGAGGCCUCUGGGGUGGUGGGAGCCCUCGGAAGGACACACUGUAUAGGGGCCCUACACCCCAAGCUACAGGGGCUCCUUCACAGCUUGUGCUGCCCUGGGACGCCUCAGUCACUGAACAAGGGGCCUCCUGGCUGGUGGAAGAACUCCACAGGCCCACGGAAUCCUGGUAGGACCUGGCAGGAGAGCCCUCGGACGCAGGCAGCGCCUGGUAGGUACGCUGGCCACCGUGCGCCAAGGGACCUUAAAGACGUGUGUGGGGGCGGAGUUCACAGGCAGUGCUGCCUACUGUCCUGGAAGAGGUAGAGGCCUGGGCUGUCCCACUGUGUCCUGGAUGGUGGGUGUUGGCGGCCCUGAGCUUGGGGUUCCUUCCCUGCGAGGCGAGGGGACGUGCCCAUCCGGCCUCCCUCACGCCAGGGUGGUGAGAGCAGAUGGAAACAGACAGCGCUCAGGCUUGUAGGCCUGCUGCUGACGAUCGGGUCAGAAUCCGGGUCACUGGGGGCUGAGUCCUGGUGUGCUGUGUAGAAGCCGCACGGCCCCAGGCCAGCCACUGAACCCCCAGGGGCUCUCGUUGCCUCUGUGAGAUAGGGAGAGCUCUCCAGGCCUCCCGGAGCAGCUGGGAGGAGUCCAUGGAGAGUGGUCAUGUAUGUAGAAUGUCUGGUGCAGGGCCUGGCACACAGUAGGUGCCUAAUAAAUGUGGCAGCUUGUCUCCUACA